GCCGUGAUCGUAUAGUUGGUUUGGGCAUUGCGUUGUGGCCGCAAAAACCCAGGUUCGAAUCCUGGUCACGGCA
rnacentral:tRNA from 1 species